GACGAACGCUGGCGGCGUGCUUAACACAUGCAAGUCGAACGGAAGGGCCCUGCUUUUGUGGGGUGCUCGAGUGGCGAACGGGUGAGUAACACGUGAGUAACCUGCCCUUGACUUUGGGAUAACUUCAGGAAACUGGGGCUAAUACCGGAUAGGAGCUCCUGCUGCAUGGUGGGGGUUGGAAAGUUUCGGCGGUUGGGGAUGGACUCGCGGCUUAUCAGCUUGCUGGUGGGGUAGUGGCUUACCAAGGCUUUGACGGGUAGCCGGCCUGAGAGGGUGACCGGCCACAUUGGGACUGAGAUACGGCCCAGACUCCUACGGGAGGCAGCAGUGGGGAAUAUUGCACAAUGGGCGGAAGCCUGAUGCAGCAACGCCGCGUGCGGGAUGACGGCCUUCGGGUUGUAAACCGCUUUCGCCUGUGACGAAGCGUGAGUGACGGUAAUGGGUAAAGAAGCACCGGCUAACUACGUG
rnacentral:rRNA from 1 species